GAUGAAGAACGUAGCGAAAUGCGAUAAGUAAUGUGAAUUGCAGAAUUCAGUGAAUCAUCGAAUCUUUGAACGCACAUUGCGCCUGCCAGUAUUCUGGCGGGCAUGCCUGUUCGAGCGUCAUUACAACCCUCAGGCCCCCGGGCCUGGCGUUGGGGAUCGGCGGAAGCCCCCUGCGGGCACAACGCCGUCCCCCAAAUACAGUGGCGGUCCCGCCGCAGCUUCCAUUGCGUAGUAGCUAACACCUCGCUACUGGAGAGCGGCGCGGCCACGCCGUAAAACACCCAACUUCUGAAUGUUGACCUCGAAUCAGGUAGGAAUACCCGCUGAACUUAAGCAUAUCAAUAAGCGGAGGA
rnacentral:misc_RNA from 1 species